rnacentral:rRNA from 1 species
CGUGGAGACAGGUGGUGCAUGGCUGUCGUCAGCUCGUGUCGUGAGAUGUUGGGUUAAGUCCCGCAACGAGCGCAACCCUCACCUCUUGUUGCCAUCAGGUCAUGCUGGGCACUCUAGAGGAACUGCCCCGGUCAACGGGGAGGAAGGCGGGGAUGGCGUCAAGUCAUCAUGCCCCUUACGUCCUGGGCUACACACGUGCUACAAUGGCCGGUACAAAGGGAUGCCACACCGCGAGGUAGAGCUAAACCCAAAAAGCCGGUCUAAGUUCAGAUUGGAGUCUGCAACUCGACUCCAUGAAGGAGGAAUCGCUAGUAAUCGCGUAUCAGCACGACGCGGUGAAUACGUUCCCGGGCCUUGUACACACCGCCCGUCACACCACGAAAGCCUGCUGUACUCGAAGUCGCUGAG